CCUCGGGGGGCAGCAGUCGAGAAUCAUUCACAAUGGGGGAAACCCUUAUGGUGCGACGCCGCGUGGGGGAAUGAAGGUCUUCGGAUUGUAAACCCCUGUCAUGUGGGAGCAAAUUAAAAAGAUAGUACCACAAGAGGAAGAGACGGCUAACUCUGUGCCAGCCGCCGCGGUAAUACCGAGGUGUCAAGCGUUUUUCGGAAUCACUGGGCGUAAAGCGUGCGUAGGCUGUUUCGUAGGUCGUGUGUGAAAGGCGCGGGCUCAACCCGCGGACGGCAGAGGAUACGGCGAGACUAGAGUAAUGGAGGGGGAACCGGAAUUCUCGGUGUAGCAGUGAAAUGCGUAGAUAUCGAGAGGAACACUCGUGGCGAAGGCGGGUUCCUGGACAUUAACUGACGCUGAGGCACGAAGGCCAGGGGAGCGAAAGGGAUUAGAUACCCGGGUAGUC
rnacentral:rRNA from 1 species